GCGUAGCCAAGAUGCCGAUCGCUUACGCUUCGUAGCGAUCGAAACGCAACUGUCACUGUCGCACUAAUAUGGAGGUGUGAUGGAGAGACAUAAUGGUUUUCGUUGUCGAAGCGAUAGCGAUUGUAACCUUGGCUAGGCCGGCAGUUUCCUUAAAUGUACUUAGCCAUACCCCGAAAUUAAAGGACUUUAAAAAAAACUGUGUAUAAAUAAGUUCUAUUCAUAAAUCUGCUGGUUAGUAUCACACCUUGGGUAGGCAACACAGGGGUAUACAAACUUUAAUCAUAUUGUAGCACAUGUACGAGGAAAGCGAGUGUUGUUUGCAGCACCUACAGAAAUAUGAAUACAUAUAAGGCAGCACCAUUGACUCUUAAAACAGACUAUAGCAAUAGCAGCAUUUUCUAAACUAUGGGUCGCGAUCCAAUGGUGGGUCGCAAGCGUAAUAUUGAGUGGACCCAGAAACUAUUAGAGGGAAUCUGAGCGUUCGUGGUACUUUAUGCCUUGGGGUCUUGAAUUUGGCAGUUUUUGUUAGGUGGGUCGGAGCCCAGUCAACUUUGGGAACCACUGGACUAUAGUGUUAUUAUACAUGUCAGUUGUUAAAGAUUGCAGAGCCUUGAAUUUCUGUUUGUUCUUAUUUACGAUAAUAAUUGUGUUUCAAGAGCUUAUGCGGUACAAAAAUAUCAAUUGAUACGUUAAAUAUUGCCAAAACUUUUAACGACAUUUACCUCCUCAGAGCGCCCAUAAUGCAUUUUAGGAAAUUCAAUAUUGACUUUUGUAAUAUUGACGAAUAAAUCCUAAUUUUAUUGCUAUAUGAUAGGUCCAAAUUCCAUGGGGCCCCAAAGAAAUCGCUCUACCCCAUUCCGGAGUCGAAACUGAAUGAGGUGUAGAUAUUUUGUAUCCUAAUAAAAACCCUAGUAAAUGGAAAUCUAAAGUAAAAUAAGGCAUGUCUAUCGUGAACGAAACCAUGUGGUCUAAAGUUUAGUACCCGGAUGUGUUGCGUAGCUCUGCCAAAGCCAAUUAAGCUUUCCAAUUAUUGUUAUACACAUUUCCCAAACUGUCUAAUAUAGCUAAAACUGAAUGUAAUAUAUUUUGUGACAUGAUUAUCAUAUUAUUUAAAUGGAACACUAGGUAUUCGCAAUAUUGUGUAAGCGUAAGGGUCAUCCUCAUCGAGGUCCGCAGUUUGUUAAAUGGUUCUGUAAGGUCAGACUUUGUAUGAUGCAAUAAAUAAAGAUUAUAUUUUA